rnacentral:rRNA from 1 species
CCUACGGGAGGCAGCAGUCGAGAAUCAUUCACAAUGGGGGAAACCCUGAUGGUGCGACGCCGCGUGGGGGAAUGAAGGUCUUCGGAUUGUAAACCCCUGUCAUGUGGGAGCAAAUUAAAAAGAUAGUACCACAAGAGGAAGGGACGGCUAACUCUGGGCCAGUAGCGUCGGUAAUACAGAGGUCUCAAGGGUUGUUCGGAAUACCUGGGCUUAAAGCGUGCGUAGGGUGUUUCGUAAGUCGUGUGUGAAAGGCGCGGGCUCAACCCGCGGACGGCACAUGAUACUGCGAGACUAGAGUAAUGGAGGGGGAACCGGAAUUCUCGGUGUAGCAGUGAAAUGCGUAGAUAUCGAGAGGAACACUCGUGGCGAAGGCGGGUUCCUGGACAUUAACUGACGCUGAGGCACGAAGGCCAGGGGAGCGAAAGGGAUUAGAUACCCUUGUAGUC